AUCCAGCUGAUGACUUCCAAAUAGGACGAAACUCGCGUCCUUGAU
rfam:Schistosoma curassoni strain Dakar, Senegal genome assembly, scaffold: SCTD_contig0007529